rnacentral:misc_RNA from 1 species
UUUCAUCCGCGUUAAGGAUGGAAGCGGCAUCCUUGGCGAAAUGCAAUGGAGCCAAGAUACAGCGGACAGCCUGGCCGAAG